rnacentral:lncRNA from 1 species
AUUGCAACAAGUUCAAAAUCCUCGCCAAGUGAAUGCCAUGUGGGGUGUCAAGAAAAGAUGACAAAGAGGUCAACAGAAUCAAGGGAAUUCGGAGCAAUUUGACAAUGAAUGUGGUGGAUUUCAAGAUGAUAGUUGUUAUCGGCAAAAUGAAGACGUGCAAUACGUGAAUAAUUAUUUAGGCCAAAGGGGCAAUUCUUCCAACCAACAACAAUUGAGACCCCAAGGCAAUUGGGGUAAUCAACAACAAUAAGGAAAUGGUAAUUAGGAAAGAAAAAAUCAAAACAACAACUGGGGUAAUCAGAACAACAAUAAAAAAAUAUCAAGGAAAUUGGAAUGGUAAUAACAAUAAUAGGGUAGUAACAACAAUCAAGGUGGAUGGAACAAUGAAAAUCAAGGAAACCGGGGGCAAGGCUUUCAAAGGCCCACAAUGUACCAACAACCAAACAAUCCACCAACAACUUAGCUUAAGAGAUUGUGGAUCUGUGUAUUCAUGUUACCUCUUCAAGUGGUUUGAGAAAAUGAAAAAUAAAGUUAUGUGAGCAUGAGUUGUGGUUACUUUUCAUGGUAGCCUGGUUGUCGUUAGUAGUAUAACGGAUGCAGUGGCGUAUGGCAUUUUCAGAAAAUUGUCUUCCCCUAUAUCACUCUUCAGAACAUCCUCGUCAAUGUCUAUCUCUGUCCGUCUAAAUGUGCAAAAAAUCUGGCGUCGCUAAUGGAAAGCAAAGCUCAAAAGGUCGACGAAGCAGGCAAGUCCGUCCAGAUCUGGUGCGUGUCCGGUUGUUUCUGGACAGUAAAGAGUGGUGGGACAAGGAGCAGCUGCUCAAGGUCGUUUAUGGCAGUUUGAGUUGUCUGGUUCGUUGCUUGAGAGAGAGAAAGAGGCGGGUUGUUAGUGGGGUGGAACAGAGGUGGCGGCGUAGGUCGAUUCAGGGGGUACCGUUUGGGCAGCGGAUGUGUCGUUAUGGCUGCUCAAGAGUGAAGGAGUAGAGUGGUCUAUGGCCGGGCUGGAGUUGCUAAAGGUGACGGCUGAAAUGGAUGUCGUUUCCAACAACACUGGUGGCCGGCGGCGUGAGAGGUUAAGCCUCCUUAGGGUGCUUUUGUCGCUAGGGUUUUUUUUGCAGUGUUAGAUGAAGAAGAAAAUGAAGUCUAGGGUUAGGUUUUUUAUGUCUUGUAUGAAGAAGAAGAAGAGUGGUCUUGAUGGGCUUAAAAUUUGGCCUAAAUAAAGAAAUUGAACUUUAA